GAUGAACGCUAGCGGCAGGCCUAACACAUGCAAGUCGAGGGGUAGAGGAAGCUUGCUUCCUUGAGACCGGCGCACGGGUGCGUAACGCGUAUGCAAUCUACCUUAUACAAAGGGAUAGCCCAGAGAAAUUUGGAUUAAUACCCUAUAGUAUUAUGAAAUCGCAUGGUUUUAUAAUUAAAGUUCCAACGGUAUAAGAUGAGCAUGCGUCCCAUUAGUUAGUUGGUAAGGUAACGGCUUACCAAGACAAUGAUGGGUAGGGGUCCUGAGAGGGAGAUCCCCCACACUGGUACUGAGACACGGACCAGACUCCUACGGGAGGCAGCAGUGAGGAAUAUUGGUCAAUGGACGCAAGUCUGAACCAGCCAUGCCGCGUGCAGGAUGACGGUCCUAUGGAUUGUAAACUGCUUUUAUACAGGAAGAAACACUCCCUCGUGAGGGAGCUUGACGGUACUGUAGGAAUAAGGAUCGGCUAACUCCGUGCCAGCCGCCGCCGUAACAC
rnacentral:rRNA from 1 species